CCAUAUACCACCCCGAAAUUCAUUUUCUUGCAGACAUACACAGUAAAUGCAAAGGAACACAGUAGAUCCGUCGUGAAAAGCAAUGAAAUGGACUUUCUAACAUCGCCCCGCUCGCUGUGAAAAUGGGGGACACCUUCCCCUCCCUCGCCAGGCAGAGAGAGAGAACCUGUGGGUUGCCGAAUGCCGGAUGAAUUGCGAUAGUCUUUGGGGUAACUGCCAGGCAACCGCAAAACACAGAAACCCAGAAGAACCCAUAACAAAGAGAAGAGCAUUAAACACCCAACGUGCAGAGAAAAUAAAACAAAUCAUGUAAACAACAGACCCCGCAAAUGUCAUUCUGAGCUGAAGUCCACAAAGAGAGUCCGUCCGCAGUGCCUUCGAUUAACACAGAGCCUCAGGCCCCAACACCCUGACCUUAGUGUUAUUAACUAAGGAGCUUCAUGGCAGCGUCGCAGAUAGCUUCAUGCUAUUACAGCCCAGUGAUCAGUGAUUUGGGUUUAGUUCCUGCCACUGUCCAUCAGGAGUUCGUACAUUCUACUUGUGACAGUGUUGGUUUCCCCUGGUGCUCUGGUUUCCUCCCACAUUCCACAGACGUACGGCUGAUGGAGAGGAUUGGCCCAUCUGUGGAAAGUGUUUUCAAUAGUGAGCAGAAGCUGUGAACCGGACAUCAAACCUGUCAUCUUCUCACUGGGUCCCAGAGCUUGGAUGAAAGCAACUAUUUUAAAAUUAAUUACAUGACUGAGGGAAACGACGACUGUGUGAAGAUUCAAGGACCUCCACCAUCCAGGCUUUUGCCCUCUUCUGGCUGCUGCCACCAAGGAGAAGGUAUAGGAGACUUAAGUGUUGCACCACCAGGUUCAGGAAGUUAUUACCCCUCAACGCAUCAGGCUCCUGAACCAGUGUGGAUAACUUCACUCACCCCAACUCUGAACUGAUUCAACAACCUGUGGACUCACUUUCAAGGACUCUGCACUCUUGUUCUUAGCAUGUUUUAUUUAUGAAUAUUAUUAUUUUUUUUGUAUUUGCACAGUGCAUUUUGCUUGGUUGUCUAUCUUCGUGUGUAGAUUUUCAUUCACUCUAUAGUGUUUCUUUGUAAAUACAGUGAAUGCCCGCAAGAAAAUGAAUCUCGGGUUGAAAAUGAUGAC